AUGCUGAAUAAAUUAGUAUUCAAUCAAAAAACUAUGAAGGCAUUUUCUCAGUUCAUACGUUGUCAUACUUUCUUCAUGCUUCUUAGCAUUUUGCUUUGGCAGGGCAGCAUAAGCUUCUGUAUAUUUAUUUUUUAUAUUAAAUUAAAUUUUCGCAGCUGUUCAAAUGAACCUAGUAUACUAAUUGUUUUGUACAUGUCUCUUUCAGUUGUGGCCAUGCUGUUAUACAUCGUACUGUCAGCAGAAGCCUCGGAUGUCCUGCGAUGCACAGGGGAGAGACAGCGUGAUGGCCAGUUCUACUUCAACAUGACGUAUGACCUUAAAGAGGGUGUUCAUGACUGCGAGACCCAAUGGGUCAUCAAUGGAAGUGUGGCAGGAAUUUCUCAUGCUGAUGGAAAAACGGAGUGCAUGCUCCCACUUGUAAAUGCAACAGCAAACACAGCCAUCUUACAGACCUGCCAUGAAAAACUGGAAUUCCUGCUCAUCUGCCCCUCUGCCGGCAUCAACAAAAAGGAACCGUGCUCUUGUGAUAUCACUUCUCCAACUACACUUCCUGAAGUGGGUUUGCCUGACUGGAGUGUUGGUGUUUGGAUUGGAGUGAGUGUGUUUGGGAUUCUGUUGGCGUCUUUGAUUGUCACCAUGCUUUAUAGGAAAAAAAAAAGGUGAGGCCCUCAAAAAACAAAAAAAACAAAAACAAAGGGUGAAUAUUCAGUAAUGUACAGUGUUUUAUUAAGUACUGGCAUGAAAAAGUUAAAAAAAACAUAGGUUUGUAUAAUAUUUGUCUAUUAAUAUUUGUGUAACCAUGGAUAAUUCUGUGCUUAUAGGUCAGAAUAUGCUCUUAGUGGCCCAGGUCCUGCUGAAGAUGUCUGAUUCUGGUAUGUACUGUAUCAUCAGUAGUACUCUUUACCAUAAUGUGUAACAAUUCCAGUCAUUAUUUUUGGCCAUUUGAAAGAUACCACAUUAUAUUAGGGAGUCAAUUACAGUACAGACAGUGGUGAGUACUGCUAAAAGCAUUUCCCUUUCCUUUUUGUUUAACCACAGAAGAAGCUGUAUCAUUGCACCUGGGCGUUCUUCAGUCUUCAGUCUUCAGAACAAUUUUUAGUUAAGGAAUUAAAUAAAUGGAUACAGGUUUUUAAGCA
ensembl:lncRNA